rnacentral:rRNA from 1 species
UCUUGGUCAUUUAGAGGAAGUAAAAGUCGUAACAAGGUUUCCGUAGGUGAACCUGCGGAAGGAUCAUUACCGAGUGUUGGCUGGGGUCACCCGGCCGCCUCCCGUCCGUGCCUUUUUUACCACACCCGCAUUUCGGUGAGGAGACCCGCCGGGGGCGCUUUAAAACCUACUGUGAAACCGUGCCGUCAGAGGGAAGGUUAACGAGCGAAAACUUUCAACAACGGAUCUCUUGGUUCUGGCAACGAUGAAGAACGCAGCGAAAUGCGAUAAGUAAUGUGAAUUGCAGAAUUCAGUGAAUCAUUGAAUCUUUGAACGCACAUUGCCCCCCCUGGCAUUCCGGGGGGCACACCUGUCCGAGCGCCAUUUCGCCCCUNGAGCCUGGCUCGGUGUUGGGGAAGGUCCGCGGGGACCUCCGCCAAAAUUUGUAGGCGCCAUCGCCCGGCGUUGCAGCGCACCAGGCUAAUGCACACGCGGGAAUAAGGGUGGCCGGCCGCCAGCGAUAUUCUA